CUGCCGCGCCUUGUCUCGCUAUAAUGUUUCAUUAAUUAACUCUGUCAUACUUUACAUAAAUGUUUCUUUGUAUCCUUACUCAGCCUUAAACCACAGUAGAUUAUUAGAUUCACCGCUAUUGUCGUUUUGUAGCUGCCUCGCGGUGUUGUUCCAUCGUCACUGUUGCUGGAAGAAGCAGUCGAAGUGGCUGCCAUGAAUUAAAAGGAAAGGGAGUUGUUACAAUAGGUUUAUGCGAACUUGGCUAAUUGAGAGUUGUUGUGGUUGUUGCAUAAGCGGUUUGGAGCUGAGGCUGCAGCUGCCACUGAUUGCGGGCCGAAAAGAAAGGGUCUCUUGAUGCGUUUGGUUUAUGAGUUUCGAUUAUUCGAGGAACCAUAUGAAGAGGCAUUAAGAAGAGUUAUACUGGGUUUGACUUAUG